AUGUAAUGUAUGUCCUUGUCUCCUGAAAUGGUAUGUAUGAGGUCUGUGGUUUUAGUUCUGAAAUGGUAUGUAUGAGAUAAUGAGGUCUGUGGUUUUAGUUCUGAAAUGGUAUGUAUGAGAUAAUGAGGUCUGUGGUUUUAGUUCUGAAAUGGUAUGUAUGAGAUAAUGAGGUCUGUGGUUUUAGUUCUGAAAUGGUAUGUAUGAGAUAAUGAGGUCUGUGGUUUUAGUUCUGAAAUGGUAUGUAUGAGAUAAUGAGGUCUGUGGUUUUAGUUCUGAAAUGGUAUGUAUGAGAUAAUGAGGUCUGUGGUUUUAGUUCUGAAAUGGUAUGUAUGAGAUAAUGAGGUCUGUGGUUUUAGUUCUGAAAUGGUAUGUAUGAGAUAAUGAGGUCUGUGGUUUUAGUUCUGAAAUGGUAUGUAUGAGAUAAUGAGGUCUGUGGUUUUAGUUCUGAAAUGGUAUGUAUGAGAUAAUGAGGUCUGUGGUUUUAGUUCUGAAAUGGUAUGUAUGAGAUAAUGAGGUCUGUGGUUUUAGUUCUGAAAUGGUAUGUAUGAGAUAAUGAGGUCUGUGGUUUUAGUUCCAGUGAAGGACAGUGGAAGGAAGGAAG